UAAAAAAGAAGAUGGAAAAACAUUCGAAGCGUGUGUAAUAAUAAAAAAGAAAGAAGUCAUAUAAAUCAAUGUGGUGUGUCGGUUCUUUCGUGUUUUUUUU
rnacentral:ribozyme from 13 species